UACGUAGGGUGCAAGCGUUGUCCGGAAUUAUUGGGCGUAAAGAGCUCGUAGGCGGUCUGUCGCGUCUGGUGUGAAAAUCCAGGGCUUAACCCUGGACCUGCAUCGGGUACGGGCAGACUAGAGUGCGGUAGGGGAGAUCGGAAUUCCUGGUGUAGCGGUGAAAUGCGCAGAUAUCAGGAGGAACACCGGUGGCGAAGGCGGAUCUCUGGGCCAUUACUGACGCUGAGGAGCGAAAGCGUGGGGAGCGAACAGG
rnacentral:rRNA from 1 species